AAAAAAUUGCACAUUUAUUCAAUUGGCAGCUUUUCUUGUUACUAUCAAUUCUGAAAGUCGUCCCAGGAACGAGAUUAAAAUGUUAUGAACACCCAUUGACAGCCAAGCAACUUGUAUUAGACGAAACAAGAGUACAUACUCAUCAAAUCGUUUGUUCUUUAGGAACGUCAAACGAGCAGAACAACAUUAUUUUGAAAGCCUCGAAUGGAGCUCAGGAAGGAGUCGCAAUCGAUGUAACCUGUGCUAGUAUGGUCAUGUCUGAUGUUUAAUUUAAACAUGCUGGAUCGUUCGCGAAGGGCAAUGUGAAGACUGCCCUUUGCUAAAAACACCGCUGUCAAAGAAGCCGGCAGUUAUGGACCUGAAAUGCACUAUCGUUUCUGAACCGGAAGUCCCUCCUACAACCGGACCACUGGAUUACAGCUGGGCUAGAUUCGAGCCAUCAGACGAAAGCUUUUUUGGGAACAUGCUGACCAAUUUUGUAUGGUAGAAGUGACUGCUGAAAAGAGACACCUGGAUGUUACAGCAUAUAAUAAAAUGAUUGUUUCCAUUUCGGUAUUGUAAAUAGUGUGACUUUAGUUUCAUGUGAGUGUGUGUGUA